UACGUAGGGGGCAAGCGUUGUCCGGAAUCAUUGGGCGUAAAGCGCGUGUAGGCGGCCCGGUAAGUCCGCUGUGAAAGUCCAGGGCUCAACCCUGGGAUGCCGGUGGAUACUGUCGGGCUCGAGUCCGGAAGAGGCGAGUGGAAUUCCUGGUGUAGCGGUGAAAUGCGCAGAUAUCAGGAAGAACACCAAUGGCGAAAGCAGCUUUCUGGGACGGUACUGACGCUGAGACGCGAAAGCGUGGGGAGCGAACAGG
rnacentral:rRNA from 1 species